rnacentral:rRNA from 1 species
AUUGAACGCUGGCGGCAUGCUUUACACAUGCAAGUCGAACGGCAGCACAGCAGAGGUAACUCUGUGGGUGGCGAGUGGCGAACGGGUGAGUAAUACAUCGGAACGUACCCUGUUGUGGGGGAUAACUACGCGAAAGCGUAGCUAAUACCGCAUACGCCCUGAGGGGGAAAGCGGGGGACCCUAAAUAGAGCGCACUGGGGAGUGCGUUGUAUUUAGGGCCUCGCGCAAUAGGAGCGGCCGAUGUCGGAUUAGCUAGUUGGUGAGGUAAAGGCUUACCAAGGCGACGAUCCGUAGCUGGUCUGAGAGGAUGAUCAGCCACACUGGGACUGAGACACGGCCCAGACUCCUACGGGAGGCAGCAGUGGGGAAUUUUGGACAAUGGGGGCAACCCUGAUCCAGCCAUGCCGCGUGAGUGAAGAAGGCCU